GUUAUCUAUAAAUGUAUUAGUUUAAACCACACGAAACCAGUUGAGCUAAUUUUCUUUUCUUAUUUUAGUAUAAAUGCGCAGCGUAGUAUAGCUAUGUAUAGAAUAAAAAUUAGGGGUGAAAGGCCUAACAAAUCUGGUGAUAUCUUGAUAUUAAGGAAAUAUAUUUAGUAUAUUAAUCAACUUAUAAAUGGUGAGGUUUAUAAGUUUUAUGAUAUAAGCUUCUAUAUUAGUGGAUUUUAUAAUAGAUACCACUUAAACUCCUUUAAAAUUUAAUACUUUUAUUAUAUAAACUUUACUUAAUUGAUAAUUAUAAUGUAAUUAUUAUUUAAUAAUGAUUUCAUUAGUAUUUAAAUAAAACUAAUUAAGGAACUCGGCAAAACUAUUUCUCGACUGUUUAUCAAAAACAUAGUUUUAAGUAUAUAAUUUAAAAUUUUACCUGCUCAAUGAUAAUUUUUAAUAGCCGCAGUACACUGACUGUGCAAAGGUAGCAUAAUCAAUUGGCUUAUAAUUGAAGUCUAGUAUGAAUGGGGUUUUGGGAAAUAACUGUCUUGGUUAAAUCCUUAGAACUUAAUAAAUAAGUGAAAAUUCUUAUAUAUAAUAAAAAAGACGAGAAGACCCUAGAAAUUUUAUUUAGGUAUCAAAAAUACUUCUAAUUUUGUUGGGGCGACAUAGUAACAUUAAACUUACUUAAGAAUAUAGGAAACUAAUGAGUGGAGUAAAUAAAUUACUCUAGGGAUAACAGCAUAAUAUUUAAAAGUUUGUGACCUCGAUGUUGGACUAGGGAGUACAAUACUUAAAAGGUACUGUAAUAAGCUCUGUUCGAGCUAUACACCCUACAUGAUCUGAGUUCAGACCGG
rnacentral:rRNA from 1 species